ACUCCUACGGGAGGCAGCAGUAAGGGAUAUUGCGCGAAUGGACGAAAGUCUGACGCAGCAACGCCGCGUGCGGGAGGAAGGCCUUCGGGUCGUAAACCGCUUUUCGAGGUGAAGAGCGAGGACGGUAGCCUCGGAAGAAGUCUCGGCUAACUACGUGCCAGCAGCCGCGGUAAAACGUAGGAGGCGAGCGUUAUCCGGAUUUACUGGGUGUAAAGCGCGUGCAGGCGGUUGGAUAAGUGUGAUGUGAAAGCGCCUGGCUCAACCGGGCGAGGACGUCGCAGACUGUUCGACUGGAGGCAGGGAGAGGUCUGUGGAAUUCCGGGUGUAGUGGUGAAAUGCGUAGAGAUCCGGAGGAACACCAGCGGCGAAGGCGGCAGACUGGCCCUGACCUGACGCUCAGACGCGAAAGCACGGGGAGCGAACGGGAUUAGAAACACCGGUAGUCCGUGCCGUAAACGAUGUGGACUAGGUGUCGGCGACGCGAGUCGGCGGUGCCGCAGCUAACGUGAUAAGUCCACCACCUGGGGAGUACGGCCGCAAGGUUAAAACUCAAAUGAAUUGACGG
rnacentral:rRNA from 1 species